rnacentral:rRNA from 1 species
GACGAACGCUGGCGGCGUGCCUAAUACAUGCAAGUUGAGCGCUGAAGGUUGGUACUUGUACCAACUGGAUGAGCAGCGCACGGGUGAGUAACGCGUGGUUAAUCUGCCUUUGAGCGGGGGACAACAUUUGGAAACGAAUGCUAAUACCGCAUAAAAACUUUAAACACAAGUUUUAAGUUUGAAAGAUGCAAUUACAUCACUCAAAGAUGAUCCCGCGUUGUAUUAGCUAGUUGGUGAGGUAAAGGCUCACCAAGGCGAUGUUACAUAGCCGACCUGAGAGGGUGAUGGGCCAUAUUGGGACUGAGACACGGCCCAAACUCCUGCGGGAGGCAGCAGUAGGGAAUCUUCGGCAAUGGACGAAAGUCUGACCGGGCAACGCCGCGUGAGUGAAGAAGGUUUUCAGAUCGUAAAGCUCUGUUGGUAGAGAAGAACGUUGGUUAGAGUGGAAAGCUCAGCAAGUGACGGUAACUACCCAGAAAGGGACGGCUAACUACGUG